rnacentral:rRNA from 1 species
CGCGCAGGCGGCCAAGUAUGUCGGAUGUGAAAGCCCUCGGCUCAACCGAGGAAUUGCGUUCGAAACUGCUUGGCUUGAGUACGGGAGAGGGAAGUGGAAUUCCGGGUGUAGAGGUGAAAUUCGUAGAUAUCCGGAGGAACACCAGAGGCGAAGGCGACUUCCUGGACCGACACUGACGCUGAGGCGCGAAAGCGUGGGGAGCAAACA